rnacentral:snRNA from 1 species
CGACGGACCGGGCCUAAGUUCCCUGGAA